GGCGAGUGGUGACGAAUGGAUGUCGAAAUGUUCACACGAGUGGGUAUGCUCAAGAUUAAACCUUGGCCCUCAGCGAAUAUUGUUGUAGCUGAGAAGAGAUAACUCCACAGAGACCGGAUGUAAAGCUGCUAAAGACACAUGUAUUAUCCUUGUUCUGAUCAUCUUCAAGCACUACAUACGAAGGCUAAAAGGCACUGUUCCAACCGGCCUUCCGAUAGAGUCAACGGCCUUUACCGCAAUAAACCUGCUGAAUAUUUCAAGCAACUUGUAAAUAAAACCAUGUUGCCACGAAGGAAGGACAACGGCGGGGAUCCACGCUGUCCCAUAAACUGAAAGGUGUGUUCUUCGGGGUGACUCUUUGGAACGGAGGGCUACCAACCAUAUCACCAUACGGAAACACCAGAGUGGUGGUUUCCCUGAAAAGACUCUUUGAUGACUCUGCCAGGCUGUACUUCGCCGAUUUCUACUGUAUGUCAAGUCGAAGCGAUAAUCACUACAUCACAUUGGUCCUUACAAAGAAGG
rnacentral:lncRNA from 1 species